AACGAACGCUAUCGGUAUGCUUAACACAUGCAAGUCGGACGGACUAAUUAGGGCUUGCUCCAAUUAGUUAGUGGCAGACGGGUGAGUAACACGUGGGAAUCUGCCCAUCAGUACGGAAUAACUUUUAGAAAUAAAAGCUAAUACCGUAUAUUCUCUACAGAGGAAAGAUUUAUCGCUGAUGGAUGAGCCCGCGUCAGAUUAGGUAGUUGGUGAGGUAACGGCUCACCAAGCCGACGAUCUGUAGCUGGUCUGAGAGGAUGAUCAGCCACACUGGGACUGAGACACGGCCCAGACUCCUACGGGAGGCAGCAGUGGGGAAUAUUGGACAAUGGGCGAAAGCCUGAUCCAGCAAUACCGAGUGAGUGAUAAAGGCCCUAGGGUUGUAAAGCUCUUUUAGCAAGGAAGAUAAUGACGGUACUUGCAGAAAAAGCCCCGGCUAACUCCGUG
rnacentral:rRNA from 1 species